rnacentral:rRNA from 1 species
AAGAAUGAGCCUGCGAGUCAGCGGCAUGUCGCGAGGUUAACCCGUGUGGGGUAGCCGUAGGGAAACCGAAUCCUAAUGGGGUGUUUAGUGGCAUGUCCUGGACCCGAAGCGGGGUGAUCUACCCAUGGCCAGUGUGAAGCAGCAGUAAGAUGCUGUGGAGGCGCGAACCCACGUAGGUUGAAAACUGCGGGGAUGAGCUGUGGGUAGGGGUGAAAGGCCAAUCAAACUCCGUGAUAGCUGGUUCUCCCCGAAAUGCAUUUAGGUGCAGCGUCGCAUUAGCUUGGUGGAGGUAGAGCUACUGGUUGGUUGAGCGGGACUACAAUCUUAGCAAUGUCAGCCAAACUCCGAAUGCCAUUAAUGUGUUGUGCGGCAGUGAGACUGUGGGGGAUAAGCUUCAUAGUCGAGAGGGAAACAGCCCAGAUCGCCGGUUAAGGCCCCUAAGGGUGUGCUAAGUGGAAAAGGAUGUGGGAUCGCGAAGACAGCCAGGAGGUUGGCUUAGAAGCAGCCAUCCUUGAAAGAGUGCGUAAUAGCUCACUGGUCGAGUGGUUCUGCGCCGACAAUGUAGUGGGGCUCAAGCACAC